rnacentral:rRNA from 1 species
UACGUAGGAGGCAAGCGUUGUCCGGAAUUACUGGGCGUAAAGCGCGCGCAGGCGGUUCUUUAAGUCUGAUGUGAAAGCCCACGGCUCAACCGUGGAGGGUCAUUGGAAACUGGAGAACUUGAGUACAGAAGAGGAAAGCGGAAUUCCACGUGUAGCGGUGAAAUGCGUAGAGAUGUGGAGGAACACCAGUGGCGAAGGCGGCUUUCUGGUCUGUAACUGACGCUGAGGCGCGAAAGCGUGGGGAGCAAACAGG